rnacentral:rRNA from 1 species
UACGGAGGGUGCGAGCGUUGUCCGGAAUCAUUGGGCGUAAAGGGCGCGUAGGUGGCUUCUCAAGCGUGCGGUGAAAGCCUGGGGCUCAACCCCGGGUCGGCCGUGCGAACUGGGGGGCUGGAGCACUGUAGAGGCAGGCGGAAUUCCGGGUGUAGCGGUGGAAUGCGUAGAGAUCCGGAAGAACACCGGUGGCGAAGGCGGCUCACUGGUCCGGUACUGACGCUGAGGUGCGAAAGCGUGGGGAGCAAACAGG